rfam:Myotis davidii contig206092, whole genome shotgun sequence.
GGUGGUUCUUGGGUAACACACCCUGGAAUUGAGUUCCCUCCUCACUGGUUCCAGGGUGCGUCACCUGAGAACCAAU